CUUGCUCCUGGNUCGCGGCGGACGGGUGAGUAAUGCCUAGGAAUCUGCCUGGUAGUGGGGGAUAACGUUCCGAAAGGAACGCUAAUACCGCAUACGUCCUACGGGAGAAAGCAGGGGACCUUCGGGCCUUGCGCUAUCAGAUGAGCCUAGGUCGGAUUAGCUAGUUGGUGAGGUAAUGGCUCACCAAGGCGACGAUCCGUAACUGGUCUGAGAGGAUGAUCAGUCACACUGGAACUGAGACACGGUCCACACUCCUACGGGAGGCAGCAGUGGGGAAUAUUGGACAAUGGGCGAAAGCCUGAUCCAGCCAUGCCGCGUGUGUGAAGAAGGUCUUCGGAUUGUAAAGCACUUUAAGUUGGGAGGAAGGGCUGUAGGCUAAUAUCCUACGGUUUUGACGUUACCAACAGAAUAAGCACCGGCUAACUUCGUGCCAGCAGCCGCGGUAAUACGAAGGGUGCAAGCGUUAAUCGGAAUUACUGGGCGUAAAGCGCGCGUAGGUGGUUCGUUAAGUUGGAUGUGAAAGCCCCGGGCUCAACCUGGGAACUGCAUCCAAAACUGGCGAGCUAGAGUACGGUAGAGGGUAGUGGAAUUUCCUGUGUAGCGGCGAAAUGCGUAGAUAUAGGAAGGAACACCAGUGGCGAANGCGACUACCUGGACUGAUACUGACACUGAGGUGCGAAAGCGUGAGGAGCAA
rnacentral:rRNA from 1 species